GGGUUGUGGUGUGGCGGGGAAGGGUUUUGCGGAUGAUUCUAACAGAUGUACCAAUCAAGGUUCCAUGGAAUAAUGGCACAACUGCACAUAUGCAGAGACCACAUGUAUUUGCAUAUACAAGAGAUUACACCAGGUAAAUAGUUAUUCUGUCAAGGGAGGGUAUCUUCCUACUGUAUGAAUCAUUAUCGUGCUUCACCAAUAUUACAAAUGGUCAGCACUAGCAGAAUUAUAUGCACCUUCAUUUUGCAUAUGUGGAAAGAAGUGGUAUACAAUUCUGUGAAACAAUGAAAUCUACAAGAGAAUGAGAAAUGAAUACCUUUAUUGGCUUUGGAUGAUCCUUAUUAUGUCCAACUAUUUUCAAAGCACCAGGCAUAAGGCUGGUUCGGACAGCCUACUCAAACAAAGGUGAAAUUUUAAUUAGUAAAAACCAUGUAUCUGUCUACAAAGGGAGAUUUUAAAAUGUUAUGUGCAGUUUUUUACAUCCUAAAAUUGGAAAAUAAAGGUUGAAAGAACAGCUAGCUUCUUCUGAUGCAUCACAUAUGGCUGUUCUAUUGAAGAAGUAAUAGUAAUAUCUAAUAUGUUUACAUUGCUUAUAUCAUUGAAGGAUACAGAAGUCAAAAUAUUUAAAACAAGACUUCGGGUAACAAACCCAGUGAACUCGAAGAAAAUAUUUCAGAAGAUAUUACAUAUUAACCAUCCUCAACUAUCAUUUUAAAGAGAAAUAGUUGAAUUAUUUAGAGCCUGCUUAUGGUGGAAAAACAGUGCAAACAAUUUUUCUUCACAACAAUGAGCUUUGGUUCAAACCUCAGUCACAGAGAAACAGAACAAAAAGAAUGCCCCAAGAAGUAUUACUUGCCAAACAAUAGAAAUGCACAACCAUACAAAAUUAUAGUGGCUUUAACACUCCAGUAGAUCAUAUCUUGCUUGUCAGCCCCAAAGUGUCCAAUACUAUAUCUAGCUUAUCC
rnacentral:misc_RNA from 1 species